UACGGGGGGGGGCAAGCGUUGUUCGGAAUUCCUGGGCGUAAAGGGCUCGUAGGCGGCCAACUAAGUCGGAUGUGAAAUCCCCAGGCUUAACCUGGGAACUGCAUCCGAUACUGGAUGGCUUGAAUCCGGGAGAGGGAUGCGGAAUUCCAGGUGUAGCGGUGAAAUGCGCAGAUAUCAGGAGGAACACCGAUGGCGAAGGCAGGUCUCUGGGCAUUAACUGACGCUGAGGAGCGAAAGCAUGGGGAGCGAACAGG
rnacentral:rRNA from 1 species